CAGCAGCUGAUUCCACUUUGCAGCCCAAGUGGAAUUUGCCACAGGACUUCUGUUGAAUGUUUUCCUGCCUAUGUUUGGGGCCGCGGACAUUAGGACUAGAAGUAGGCAAAGAAGAUUAAUCCUCCAAGAGAAGAAAAUAAAAAAAGGAAAAAAUUAGUUCUGGAAGCUAAUAUCAGAAUUCUGAACCCACAUAUACCAAGAGCCUAGGUGGCUGGGUUGGAGCAGCACCAGUCUUACCAUCGUGAUGGUGUAGUUCCCAA